UGAAAUGGAUGGCGCUGUAGCGUCGUGCCUAUACUCGGCCGUCAACGGUACAGGGGGCGGCGACCUUCGCGGGCGCCGGGCCGUUAUACCUUGACGAGUAGGAGGGCGCGGCGAUGUGCGCAGAAGGGUCUGGGCGUGAGCCUGCCUGGAGCCGUCGCCGGCGCAGAUCUUGGUGGUAGUAGCAAAUACUCCAGCGAGGACCUGGAGGACUGACGUGGAGAAGGGUUUCUUGUGAACAGCUGUUGCACAAGAGUCAGUCGAUCCUAAGCCCUAGGAGAAAUCCUAUGUCGAUGGGAAGCCGUUUGAAUUUUGAUCGAUCUCCCAUGUAUAUUUGGGUGAGAGUUCUGAUGAAAUGUGCGACCCACGGGGCGAAAGGGAAUCCGGUUCCUAUUCCGGAACCCGGCUGCGGAACCGUCUUAUGCGGGCCCUUGCAUGAGAGCUCGACGGGGCAACCCGAAGAGACCCGGAGACGCCGGCGGGAGGUCCGGAGAGAGUUUUCUUUUCUCUAUAAGCGUUCGAGUUCCCUGGAAGCCUAUUGCAGGGAGAUAGGGUUUGGAACGCGAAGAGCACCGCAGUUGCGGCGGUGUCCGGAUCUUCCCCUCGGACCUUGAAAAUCCGGGAGAGGGCUACGCGGAACAUCCGCGCCGGAUCGUACCCAUAUCCGCAGCAGGUCUCCAAGGUUAAGAGCCUCUAGUCGAUAGAAUAAUG
rnacentral:rRNA from 1 species